UGGGGAAUAUUGGACAAUGGGCGAAAGCCUGAUCCAGCCAUGCCGCGUGUGUGAAGAAGGUCUUCGGAUUGUAAAGCACUUUAAGUUGGGAGGAAGGGCAGUAAGUUAAUACCUUGCUGUUUUGACGUUACCAACAGAAUAAGCACCGGCUAACUUCGUGCCAGCAGCCGCGGUAAUACGAAGGGUGCAAGCGUUAAUCGGAAUUACUGGGAGUAAAGCGCGCGUAGGUGGUUUGGUAAGAUGGAUGUGAAAUCCCCGGGCUCAACCUGGUAACUGCAUCCAUAACUGCCUGACUAGAGUACGGUAGAGGGUGGUGGAAUUUCCUGUGUAGCGGUGAAAUGCGUAGAUAUAGGAAGGAACACCAGUGGCGAAGGCGACCACCUGGACUGAUACUGACACUGAGGUGCGAAAGCGUGGGGAGCAAACA
rnacentral:rRNA from 1 species